rnacentral:misc_RNA from 1 species
UGACCCAAUAGAUCUGCCAUGCAAUUUUACAAACUCGCCCAUAAGCAACAUUGAGCCCAUAGAACAAAUCCGACAUGUAAAGCUUUCAUAAGAAUCAAAUAAAAAUCACAGCUUCAACAUAUAUGCAUCCAUGAAGAUCGAAACAAAAUUCCUCAGAAUAACAUACAGCGAGAUUAAACAAGCUCACAGGCAUCGAAUCGAAGGCGUAAUGGAAAUAAAUCCCAACUAAUCAUGCUUGCAGAUCGAAAUUAUCAAAACCCCAACUCCACGAGUUCACACACAUCCAUGAACAGAGGAUGUAGAAGAACACAAAGAGCAGCAUAUAUACUUCCAUAAUCAAACAUAAGCAUUACAUGCAUAAUUCAUCAAUAUUGCAUGGAAAUAGACAAAUCUAAAUAAAGCUUCGGCAAGCAUAACUCGAGAUCUCAUGAACUCGCCCAGCAGCGCAAAUCCAGAAGAUCCG